rnacentral:lncRNA from 10 species
CUUAUCUGUAUGCAAGCACCAAUGGAUCAUUAGAGCAAAAUACCAAGAGCUUGUGAGAUGGAAAAAGAUUACUAUAAGAUGGGCACUGCCAAUAUUUCUUCAACAAUUGCCAUUUCCGUAUACACCAGCCCUUCACCUGCCAAUGCCUCCAUUUUUUGCCUGAAGGCUUUCUCUGGCCAUCAGUGACUACUCAGUCUGAACACACAACGGGCUGAAAAUACCAAGGAAUUAACGUUUCUCGGGAGCAGUUCUCAACCAAUAACUUGGAUAAACUGGAAGUAAGUGUUGUAAACUGUCCCCCAGAGUUCCCCAGCAGGAUCAAACUCCAAUUGCCCACAGUGAUAAUGUGAUAACACACCUUUAUUGGUUUUCUUCCCAUCUGUUUAACUUCCCCAUUAUCUACUGGUGUUUCUUGGGAACAUAUCCCAAACAAAACCCUUUCCACUCAUUGCCACAGGUCUGUCUCUGGAGGCACACAAACUAAGACAGCAGGGAAAUUAAACUUAAGAACCUCCAAAUACCUGAUUCUGCUAUGCCUCCAAGAUAAUGUAGCCAUGCUCCAGAUUUCUUCAGGGAUGUCUGAGAGUUAAGCUCCUCUCAAAAUCCAAAAUAGGAAACAGAAAUAAAAGUCCUCGGCCUGUUCGGCCCUCACUUAGUUAGCACAUGUAAAACUGAAACACAACUUUCCUGAAUCUCUUCCUUCUCUCUCUUUCUUCUCUCCCCUUCCCCUUUUAUUCCUAGAAAAAUAGACAAGCUUUUCU